UUGUUGUUGCCCUGCCAUCCUCACCACAUCUCUUCACUGUCCUGACCCAGCUGUUAAAGUCAGCUAAAGUCAUCACGUCAAAGUCUUCAUUGCUACGAACUGGUGCAUUAGAGACCGGAGGGGGGUGGAUCUCUCUUACCUGUCAGGACAAGGAAAUAGCGCACCAAGGAGAAGUCAAUACUCUCAAUGCAUUAUAGAAGAGCGUUUCUUUUCUUAAUACAUCUGCGGGAAACCACACACGGCUCAAGCCAUGUUUUUAUGCCAAACCCGUCCACCAAAUGCACACAGAUGAACGGACCAGCUUUUUACAAAGGAUGGAGACUCAGGACGCGCUGCAUCUGUUGGUGCCUCGCUGGACGAAGAUUCUGAAUGAAGUCUGAACGUAGAUCAUCUCUUUUUCUCAGACUGGUU